rnacentral:rRNA from 1 species
AUGAAGGCCGCAUUAAAAACUAUCCUCCUAGAUACAUUACAUAAGUUGUGUCGGUGGCAUAUCAUGAAGAAGUACAAAGACCACCUCACCUUGCUAUAUAAGGCGCACGAGAAACUCAAGGAUGACCUCAAUGCGGUGCUGAACCACCCACUAAUGUCGUCAGAAUUUGAACGGGCAUGGAAGGACCUCAUCCAGAAAUACAACUUGCAAAAUGACGAAGUGAUGAAUUCAUUGUGGGAUGACAGGCAUGAGUGGAUCUCGACUUACUAGAAGGAAAUUUUCUGUGCUCGAAUGACUUCCACGCAGAGAAGCGAGAGCAUGAACCGCAUAUUGAAGAAAAACUUCGUCAAAGAGAAGCAUGAUCUCCAUCUGUUUGCUCAGCAGGUGGACAAGUGCAUUCAGACCAGGAAGGUCGUCGAGCACGCAGAGACAGUAGCAAAUGAGUCAGAGGUAAAGACAACAACCCAGUUUGGGUUCGAAGUUCAGCUAUCAAAAGUGUAUACAAGGGCAGUUUUUGCAGAUUUCAAAGAAACACUCUACCGCAGCACUGCAUUCAGAGCAGAACGGUGCCCUGAGAACCGGACAAAGUACCUCGUACACCACUACAACAGAUCAGAUGCAUUUGACUGGGCAAGGCAUAAUUUCCAAGUGAUUGCCGAUGAAGAGAAAGGUGUCUACGAAUGUGAGUGCAAACUCUGGACACACACAGGGCUCUUUUGCAUCCAUGUGUUAUGCAUGCUUUCUCACUUGAGAGUACUCAAGAUUCCUGAGGUGUACAUCAUGAAAAGAUACACCCGGAAUGCAAGAUCAAAUGCAACGUUUGACAUAAGAGACUACGAACAAACAACACCAGAUGAAAGUUCACUUUUUUGCCGUAGAAAAUUGCUGAUAGAAACAACAAUGGACCUUGCAAACAAAGCGACAAGGUCCAACACUGGGUGCCACAGAGUGUUGUCUGGUAUGAGGGCAUUGAUCAAGGAAGUUGAUGUGCUCAAUGAAGAAGAAGAAGAAGCAAAACUAAAGCAAUAA